AUACGGAGGAUGCGAGCGUUAUCCGGAUUUAUUGGGUUUAAAGGGUGCGUAGGCUGUGCGUUAAGUCAGGGGUGAAAUGCCGUCGCUCAACGACGGAGCUGCCCUUGAUACUGGCGUGCUGGAGUACGGAUGCCGUUGGAGGAAUGAGUGGUGUGGUGGUGAAAUGCUUAGAUAUCACUCGGAACACCGAUUGCGAAGGCAUCUGACGAAUCCGUCACUGACGCUGAGGCACGAAAGCGUGGGGAUAGAACAGGAUUAGAUACCCUGGUAUUCCACGCCGUAAACGAUGAUGACUAACCGUCGGCGAUAGACAGCCGGUGGCCAAGCGAAAGCGAUAAGUCAUCCACCUGGGGAGUACGUCGGCAACGAUGAAACUCAAAGGAAUUGACGGGG
rnacentral:rRNA from 1 species